UGGGGGGCCAUGUUAUUUAGGGAAAUUGACUUUGUUUGCUCCUCGACAGCAGGACUGGUUAAAAAUUACCAAGUUACGGAAAACAAGAGAUACCCACAACUUAAAAGGAGAUUGGGAUGGUAAAGUACAAUUGUGGUCCAUUGUGGUCCAUGUAGAAAUAUGAUUUAGCUAAGACUAUAGAAUAUUAGUUAGCUUUGAUCUUUAGGCCUUGUUGUGCUAGCAUGGAAAAAUGCUGAGGGCAGUGAAAAGCACAGUAUGUAGAAGUACGUGCAAAAGAACAGGAAUUUGGCGGAAAGACAGAAAACUUGUGGUUAGAGAUAGGGACAUGGUGCUUAGUAACAGACUGCUAUGAGACUGCUAAGUAAACCUUGAAACUUAUCUAAUCUUGUGAAACAAUAGCCCUUUGGAAGAAUCGUGUGCCUUUUUGUCAGCCUAUUAGGAGCUUAGCUUUUGCAAUAUGUAUGAGCUAAUUAAGUGAAUGGUUCAAUCAGCAUGUAACGCGUUGACUUUAAGAAGAUAUAAAAAUGUUGCUUGUAUUCAAUAAAGCGGACACUUUGCUUGCAUCAAGUUGCGUCUCCGUCUCUCAAUCGCGGCAAAUGGUGACCCCGACGUGAUCUUCUGUGAAGAGUCCGUCGGAGACAGAUAAUCACCUAUCUGGUGGCGUGCUGCGAGUCCCGCAGAACUGAAAGGAGCUGCUGAAACGAAGCAGGAAAAGCCGGCUAAUCACCCCCGUCUGGAACGAGAGGAAUUGUUCAACGAGCAGAGGCCUCGGUACUCCGUGAUGUCUCUCAUGUCGCCUUAUUCACUCUGUUACAAGAACUUAUCUUUUUUUUAAACUCUCGCCGUCAUCCCUAUUUUAUUAUGCAUGUUAGGUCCCAUACCUCCUUACCUGGGUUUAUUGCAGAAGGAAACCGACAGGCUGAUGUGCUUACGUUACCCGUACAGGUGUUACCUGACCGUUUAGCACAAGCUCGACUUAGCCAUUCUUUUUUUCACCAAAAUGCCGGAGGCCUAAAACGACAGUUUAACCUUACGCCUCAGCAGGCUAAUAGUAUUAUUGCCACUUGUCCCGACUGUCAAAGACAUUCUUUUCCUUCUAUAGCAGGAGGGGUUAAUCCCAGGGGUUUGCAAAGCCUUCAAUUAUGGCAAACAGAUGUUACCCAUUUUGCCGAAUUUGGGCGUUUGAAGUAUAUUCACUGUUCUAUUGAUACAUUUUCUGGAAUGCUGUUUGCUUCUUGCCAUGCCGGAGAAAAGGCACGAGAUGUUCGCAAACAUCUAAUGUGUGCUUUUGCUACCCUGGGAGUGCCCUCCCAGAUAAAAACAGACAAUGGCCCUGCAUAUAUCUCUAAAUCUUUAACUGAUUUUUUUUGUAUCCUGGGGAGUUUCGCAUACCACUGGCAUUCCUCACUCCCCCACGGGUCAAGCUCUGAUAGAGCGUUCUCAUCAAACCCUCAAGCGGCUAUUACAAAAACAAAAAGGGGGAAAUGUGGUCCAUGUAGAAAUAUGAUUUAGCUAAGACUAUAGAAUAUUAGUUAGCUUUGAUCUUUAGGCCUUGUUGUGCUAGCAUGGAAAAAUGCUGAGGGCAGUGAAAAGCACAGUAUGUAGAAGUACGUGCAAAAGAACAGGAAUUUGGCGGAAAGACAGAAAACUUGUGGUUAGAGAUAGGGACAUGGUGCUUAGUAACAGACUGCUAUGAGACUGCUAAGUAAACCUUGAAACUUAUCUAAUCUUGUGAAACAAUAGCCCUUUGGAAGAAUCGUGUGCCUUUUUGUCAGCCUAUUAGGAGCUUAGCUUUUGCAAUAUGUAUGAGCUAAUUAAGUGAAUGGUUCAAUCAGCAUGUAACGCGUUGACUUUAAGAAGAUAUAAAAAUGUUGCUUGUAUUCAAUAAAGCGGACACUUUGCUUGCAUCAA